UACGUAGGGUGCGAGCGUUUGUCCGGAAUUACUGGGCGUAAAGAGCUCGUAGGUGGUUUGUCGCGUUGUUCGUGAAAUCUCACGGCUUAACUGUGAGCGUGCGGGCGAUACGGGCAGACUAGAGUACUGCAGGGGAGACUGGAAUCCUGGUGUAGCGGUGGAAUACGCAGAUAUCAGGAGGAACACCGGUGGCGAAGGCGGGUCUCUGGGCCGAUACUGACGCUGGAGGAGCGAAAGCGUGGGGAGCGAACAGG
rnacentral:rRNA from 1 species